rnacentral:rRNA from 1 species
GACAGAGGUGCCGAGCGUUAGGCGGAAUCACUGGGCUUAAAGCGUGUGUAGACGGAUCCGUAAGUACCUUGUGAAAUCCCACGGCUCAACCGUGGAACUGCUUGGUAUACUGCGGGUCUUGAGCCACCUAGGGGCGAGCGGAACAAGUGGUGGAGCGGUGAAAUGCGUAGAUAUCACUUGGAACGCCAAUGGUGAAAACAGCUCGCUGGGGGUGUGCUGACGCUGAGACACGAAAGCCAGGGGAGCAAACGGG